rfam:Schistosoma mattheei strain Denwood, Zambia genome assembly, scaffold: SMTD_scaffold0026621
AGGUUUUCGAAUCCGUGUAGAGAUUUCGUCAGACACCAACCUAUUUGGGCUGAUUAGAUUUUCAAGAUAAGUGAAGCA